AAACGUUACAAGUUCCCGAAAGGAUUUGUUGAGAUACGAUUAGUUUGUGUUGACAAAGAUGCCUUGUAACCGAAUAUAACUAGGGGGAAUACAUGAUG
rnacentral:sRNA from 2 species